rnacentral:rRNA from 1 species
CCCGUCGCCUCUUUGUGUUCCCUCCUCUUCCUCCUGCAUGGGGAGCGUCCUUAAGCCGUCCCUUCCCCCCUUUCCUUCUCGCGCACUUAUAUAUUAUAAUGUGUCCCUUCCCCUUCCUUCCUUUGCUCCCCUUUCUUUUUCUUCUCUUGGAUUCCUUUGUCAUUCAGCCUUUUAAGCCGUUCCCCGUAUUUUCUUUUAAAAAAAGUUCCUUGUAUAUUUUGCGAUGUUUCCCUUAAGUUCUACUUUUGCAUCCGCUUUCGGCAACGGGGGCACGGGUGCUUUGACAUGAUGGUUUGCAGGAUGCCGCAAGCGGCUUUCGUUUCCCUUUAUUUUCCUCCCCUUUCGCACAGAGAGCGUCGGCGGGAAAUAAAAAAGAAAAAAACUUCCGCAAUAAUUUGGAAGAUACCGGUAAAAGUCCUUACCUUUGCAUCCGCUUUCCCGUUAGGGUCGGCACCAUCGAUCUUUGAAUAUAUUUACAUAAACAAUACAAGUAGUACAAGAGCAAGGCUUGUUUCCCGUAAAAUGCGGGGAUCGGUCUUGGGUAAAACAGAAGAACCGUCAAUGUCCCUUAUGUAUUUUAUACGUAUGGGGUCCGCAUUGGUAACUUCUUUAAAUUUUCGGAUGUCCUGAACAGAGCAAACGGGAUUCCUUUCCCUCCCCUGACAAGGGGUCGGGUCAUGUGAAUCCUGAUCGAUACUUUUACAAUGAAGAGUUUGAUCCUGGCUCAGGAUGAACGCUAGCUACAGGCUUAACACAUGCAAGUCGAGGGGCAGCAUGGGCUUAGCUUGCUAAGCCCGAUGGCGACCGGCGCACGGGUGAGUAACACGUAUCCAACCUUCCGGUAACUCCGGUAUAGCCUUUCGAAAGAAAGAUUAAUCCCGGAUAGUAUGGUGAUUCCGCAUGGUUUCUCCAUUAAAGGAUUCCGGUUACCGAUGGGGAUGCGUUCCAUUAGGCAGUUGGCGGGGUAACGGCCCACCAAACCUAGGAUGGAUAGGGGUUCUGAGAGGAAGGUCCCCCACAUUGGAACUGAGACACGGUCCAAACUCCUACGGGAGGCAGCAGUGAGGAAUAUUGGUCAAUGGGCGGAAGCCUGAACCAGCCAAGUAGCGUGAAGGAUGACUGCCCUAUGGGUUGUAAACUUCUUUUAUAAGGGAAUAAUUGUGGGUACGCGUACCCAUUUGCAUGUACCUUAUGAAUAAGGAUCGGCUAACUCCGUGCCAGCAGCCGCGGUAAUACGGAGGAUCCGAGCGUUAUCCGGAUUUAUUGGGUUUAAAGGGAGCGUAGGCGGGCGCUUAAGUCAGCUGUGAAAGUUUGGGGCUCAACCUUAAAAUUGCAGUUGAUACUGGGUGCCUUGAGUGCAGUAUAGGCAGGCGGAAUUCGUGGUGUAGCGGUGAAAUGCUUAGAUAUCACGAAGAACUCCUAUUGCGAAGGCAGCUUGCUGGAGUGUAACUGACGCUGAUGCUCGAAAGUGUGGGUAUCAAACAGGAUUAGAUACCCUGGUAGUCCACACAGUAAACGAUGAAUACUCGCUGUUUGCGAUAUACUGCAAGCGGCCAAGCGAAAGCGUUAAGUAUUCCACCUGGGGAGUACGCCGGCAACGGUGAAACUCAAAGGAAUUGACGGGGGCCCGCACAAGCGGAGGAACAUGUGGUUUAAUUCGAUGAUACGCGAGGAACCUUACCCGGGCUUGAAUUGCAACCGAAUUAUCCGGAAACGGGUAAGCCGCAAGGCGGUUGUGAAGGUGCUGCAUGGUUGUCGUCAGCUCGUGCCGUGAGGUGUCGGCUUAAGUGCCAUAACGAGCGCAACCCUUAUCCACAGUUACCAUCAGGUGAUGCUGGGGACUCUGUGGAGACUGCCGUCGUAAGAUGCGAGGAAGGGGGGGAUGACGUCAAAUCAGCACGGCCCUUACGUCCGGGGCUACACACGUGUUACAAUGGGGGGUACAGCAGGCAGCUCGGCGGCGACGCCCGGCCAAUCCCUAAAUCCCCUCUCAGUUCGGACUGGAGUCUGCAACCCGACUCCACGAAGCUGGAUUCGCUAGUAAUCGCGCAUCAGCCACGGCGCGGUGAAUACGUUCCCGGGCCUUGUACACACCGCCCGUCAAGCCAUGAAAGCCGGGGGUACCUGAAGUGCGUAACCGUCCAGGAGCGCCCUAGGGUAAAACCGGUGAUUGGGGCUAAGUCGUAACAAGGUAGCCGUACCGGAAGGUGCGGCUGGAACACCUCCUUUCU